UUACCAUUUUCUUUCGAAUUAGUGUCGCCCAUUGAACUGUGGUUAGUUCGAUUGACACCUGUAGCCUACCUCUUCCCCACCCUCCGUACACCCUGGAGGAUUUGAGAUCAAGAAACGAACAAUUAUGAAUCAUAGCGUGAUAUAUGCAUCUUCUUGUGACGCACGAGAUUGGAGAAAUUUACAACGCGGUUAAACUAAUUUAUAUACACACAGUCAUUUUUAAACACUCGCGUAUACUACAAUCCGCUCUUACAUAAGUUUUUCAUCUUUUAUUUUUUAUUUGUUUCAGUCAUUAGAUUGCGGCCAUACUGGGGCAUCACCUUCAAGUAUUUUUAGUCGAAUAAAAUCGACAGAAGCCGGAACCAUGUGCUUUGGAAGAAAACUUCUGAUCACACAGCAACGCCUACAUACAUACAUACAUACAUACACACACACUCAUACAUACAGACAUACAUACAUACAUACAUACAUACAUACAUACACACACACACACUCAUACAUACAGACAUACAUACAUACAUACAUACAUAUUUCAAAUCGAAGAUAAGAAAGCAGACAAGUUCGACUAUUCAAAAAACUUUACCAUAUAAACCGAGCCAAAAGGAGUAGUUAUAAUAUAUUUAAUGCAUUUCUCAUUAAAAAGUUCAAUACCGAAACAAUACUAAAAAUAUUCAAUAUCGAAACAAUACUAAAACUUUCAAAAUUACAGACGCACCAAAAAUAUUAAAACAAUAAUAGUCAUAUAUGUUCGACAAAUUAUGAAAAUGUAUGAAAACGCCAACACUACGAGUACCACAAUCACCAACACUAUCAAAAACACAACAAAUUUUAAAAAGAAAAAUGUCACUACAACAACAACCAUACACACAGCAACGGAAUUUCGUGCUAGUGAGGAGGGCCAAUGAAAAGUUGAUGGCUCUCAAAGCACAGAACGAGAAUAUUGAAAUAGAGGGGUGAUCUGCAGCCCCAACACUUUUAGAGUACCGGAGAUCCUAAUGACGGUGCGAAUGACAUUAGGGACUUUACGAGCAUAAAGCGGAGGUAUCCGUAUGAAGUUGGAUCUCCUUGUGUAACGACCAGCAGAUAGCUUUUAAAGGGGUUUCCAGACAAACCCAACAGAACUGACAAGGUGGGAGAACCUCUCGACCACAAACAGCACCAUGAGCAUUUCUGGUCACCAUUUCUAAGGAUAGAUUUAACUUCAUCAAACGUGAACCCAUGUAUGGAGCUUGACAUAACUUUGAAAACUGCAAAUGUGAAAACAAAGGUCAUGGUUAAAGUGUCUUCAGUCAAUAAAAGUAUCAAACAAAUAUGGCCAGUUGUGAGAGAAGAGAAUUUAAAAACAGCCCUGAUGUCUCUGCUUAUUUCUGGAUUAGGCAGUGAAAAAAAAAUUACAAAUUUUGUGAAAAAAUCUUACCUUAUUUUCUUAAUUUAGCAUGAAACUGGGUGACAAGACAAAGCCUGGGCAUCCCAUAUAGUAGGUAAAGCAUGUGUUGAAACGCCGAGAUAGUGACUACUUCAAAUACUUAAGCAGAAGUUUCCAGUUUUGUUUUGUGAUAAAAUUAAGUUUGGUGUGUUUGAUGGGCCACUUAUUAAGUGGCAAUUACAGGAUGAGCUAUUUUUGGCAUUGAAAAAGAAGCAUGGAGAGAUUUUGCUGCAGCUGUGUCUGAUUUCUUGGGAAAUAAGAAGCCAUUAGAUUAUGAAGAUCUUGUGCAGACUCUGUUAACCAGUUUUCGAGCGCUGGGCUGCAACAUGAGUGUAAAUGUGCAUUUCCUGCACAGUCAUCUGGACUACUUCCUUGAAAAUCAUAAGGCAUUAAUUGAUGAGCAAGGAGAAAGAUUCAACCAAGACAUCGAAAAACAUGGAGACUAGGUAUGAAGGCAAGUGGAACACCAACACGAUAUUGUCUAUUGCUGGUCACUGCAAAGAGACUGUCAUGAUGCAAUUUAUUCACACAAAGCUGCAAAGAGACAAUUCAUUCCUUGUGAAGCUGACAGAUAUUUGACAGAAAUAUCUAUUCUAAGAUGAGUAAUUAAAUAUUUUGUGUAAUAUAUCUGUUAAACAUUAAAA
rnacentral:lncRNA from 1 species